rnacentral:ncRNA from 1 species
CCAGCAGUAGGGCCUCCGGCCCCCAAAGGCACGUGUCGUUGGCUAAGCCCUCGCGGCGGACGAGCCGCGCGGCCGCCUUGAAUUACAAUUUCCACCGGGCGGCGGACUGAAUCCUUUGCAGAUGACUUAAAUACGCGACGGGGUAUUGUAAGUGGCAGAGUGGCCUUGCUGCCACGAUCCACUGAGAUUCAGCCCUUCGUCGCUCCGAUUCGU